rnacentral:rRNA from 1 species
CAGCAGCCGCGGUAAUACGUAGGUGGCAAGCGUUGUCCGGAAUUACUGGGUGUAAAGGGAGUGUAGGCGGGACUUCAAGUCCGUUGUUAAACCGAUCGGCUCAACUGAUCGCUGCGGCGGAAACUGAAGUUCUUGAGUGAGGUAGAGGCAGGCGGAAUUCCCAGUGUAGCGGUGAAAUGCGUAGAUAUUGGGAGGAACACCAGUGGCGAAGGCGGCCUGCUGGGCCUUAACUGACGCUGAGGCUCGAAAGUGUGGGGAGCAAACAGGAUUAGAUACCCUGGUAGUCCACACUGUAAACGAUGAUUACUAGGUGUGGGGGGACUGACCCCUUCCGUGCCGGAGUGAACACAAUAAGUAAUCCACCUGGGGAGUACGACCGCAAGGUUGAAACUCAAAGGAAUUGACGGGGGCCCGCACAAGCAGUGGAGUAUGUGGUUUAAUUCGAAGCAACGCGAAGAACCUUACCAGGUCUUGACAUCGUGUGCAUAGCGCGGAGACGCGUGAAGCCCUUCGGGGCACACAGACAGGUGGUGCAUGGCC